rnacentral:tRNA from 1 species
AGUAGAGUCAGCUAAUUAAGCUCUUGGGCCCAUACCCCAAACAUGUAGGUUAAACUCCUGCCUCUGCAA